GGCUUCUCAGGGUCACACCUGGAGAGUUCCCAGUACUCUACAAGUCUUGACUACAGGAGGAAGAGAUAGGCAGAGGUGUAUCUAUCCCAUUCCUAGCUUGGGCAGUGGCUAGCGAGUGGAAGGGAAUCUGCUACAAGU